ACGCACGCUGGCGGCGUGCCUCAUACAUGCAAGUUGAGCGCUGAAGGUUGGUACUUGUACCAACUGGAUGAGCAGCGAACGGGUGAGUACCGCGUGGGGAAUCUGCCUUUGAGCGGGGGACAACAUUUGGAAACGAAUGCUAAUACCGCAUAAAAACUUUAAACACAAGUUUUAAGUUUGAAAGAUGCAAUUGCAUCACUCAAAGAUGAUCCCGCGUUGUAUUAGCUAGUUGGUGAGGUAAAGGCUCACCAAGGCGAUGAUACAUAGCCGACCUGAGAGGGUGAUCGGCCACAUUGGGACUGAGACACGGCCCAAACUCCUACGGGAGGCAGCAGUAGGGAAUCUUCGGCAAUGGACGAAAGUCUGACCGAGCAACGCCGCGUGAGUGAAGAAGGUUUUCGGAUCGUAAAACUCUGUUGGUAGAGAAGAACGUUGGUGAGAGUGGAAAGCUCAUCAAGUGACGGUAACUACCCAGAAAGGGACGGCUAACUACGUG
rnacentral:rRNA from 1 species